CUCAAUCCAAAUAUUUUAUUGCACAUUUCACAUAAAAAAAAAACUUUGAAAUAACAAAACUCAUUAUUUCAUUUCACAUUCCACAUUAUUAUUGUAGUAGCGGAAGCAAGUAUAAACCUUAAUUUUGUGUCACGCCACUUUUGUUUUCUCGCUGUCCCUAGGAACCAAACAGUUCCACCAACCUUCCCAGUUCUCAUCCCUCACUCUCACUAUCAUCACAUCACUCUCUUUCUCUCUCUCUCUUUCUUUCUCUCCCAAUCAUCCUUCCACACAGACAAAUCACACACUCCCUCACUCAAUUCCUCUUCUUUUUUCUCUCUUCACUUCAUNNN
rnacentral:lncRNA from 1 species